GAUGAACGCUAGCGACAGGCCUAACACAUGCAAGUCGAGGGGCAGCACAAGGUAGCAAUACUGAGGUGGCGACCGGCGCACGGGUGAAUAACGCGUAUGCAACCUGCCUGUAACAGGGGGAUAGCCUCUUGAAAGAGAGAUUAAUACCGCAUAAUACAGUUGGACGGCAUCGUUCAGCUUUUAAACAUUUAUGGGUUACAGAUGGGCAUGCGUUUCAUUAGGUAGUUGGUGAGGUAACGGCUCACCAAGCCGACGAUGAAUAGGGGUUCUGAGAGGAAGGUCCCCCACACUGGUACUGAGACACGGACCAGACUCCUACGGGAGGCAGCAGUGAGGAAUAUUGGUCAAUGGACGCAAGUCUGAACCAGCCAAGUCGCGUGAAGGAUGAAGGUAUUAUGUAUUGUAAACUUCUUUUAUCAGGGAAUAAUGGCCGCUACGUGUAGCGGAGAGGAAUGUACCUGAUGAAUAAGCAUCGGCUAACUCCGUGCCAGCCGCCGCCGUAACAC
rnacentral:rRNA from 1 species